AUUGAACGCUGGCGGCAUGCUUUACACAUGCAAGUCGAACGGCAGCGCGGGCGUCGGCCUGGCGGCGAGUGGCGAACGGGUGAGUAAUGCAUCGGAACGUGCCCAGUAGUGGGGGAUAGCCCGGCGAAAGCCGGAUUAAUACCGCAUACGACCUGAGGGUGAAAGUGGGGGACCGAAAGGCCUCGCGCUAUUGGAGCGGCCGAUGUCGGAUUAGCUAGUUGGUGGGGGAAAGGCGUACCAAGGCGACGCUCCGUAGCUGGUCUGAGAGGGUGACCAGCGACACGGGGACUGAGACAGGGUGCAGACGCCUAAGGGAGGCAGCCGGGGGGAAUAUGCGGAAAGGGGCGAAAGCCUGAAGGAGCAAUGCGGAGUGAGUGAAGAAGGCCUUAGGAUCGGAAAGCUCGUUUAGGAGGGAAGAACAAAUGUGGAAGGAUACAUGACGGUGUUGACGGGACCGAAUGAAUAAGCAACGACUAACUACGUG
rnacentral:rRNA from 1 species